GCAGUUCUCCCGUGAGAGGGCCUUCGCAGUGAAACAAACACACUCGCUCAGCAGCGGAAGACUCCGAGUUCUCGGUACUCUUCAGGGAUGAGUCAUGUGGCGGUGGAAAAUGCGCUCGGGCUGGACCAGCAGUUUGCUGGCCUAGACCUGAACUCUUCAGAUAAUCAGAGUGGAGGAACUACAGCUAGCAAAGGGCGCUAUAUCCCUCCUCAUUUAAGGAAUAGAGAAGCUGCUAAAGGAUUCUACGAUAAAGACAGUUCAGGGUGGAGUUCUAACAAAGAUAAGGAUGCAUACAGCAGUUUUGGGUCUCACAGUGAUUCAAGAGGGAAGUCUAGUUUCUUCAGUGAUCGUGGAAGUGGACCAAAGGGAAGGUUUGAUGAUCAUGGACGGAGUGACUAUGAUGGCAUUGGCAGCCGUGGUGACAGAAGUGGCUUUGGCAAAUUUGAACUUGGUGGCAACAGUCGCUGGUGUGACAAAUCAGAUGAAGAUGAUUGGUCAAAACCACUCCCACCAAGUGAACGCUUGGAGCAGGAACUCUUUUCUGGAGGCAACACUGGGAUUAACUUUGAGAAAUAUGAUGACAUUCCAGUUGAGGCAACAGGUAACAACUGUCCUCCGAUGUACGUAUUCUUCAAUAAUACAAACACUCUUAGGCACACACAUCAAAUUAAUAACAGUGUUCACAUUUGA